rnacentral:rRNA from 1 species
UACGGAGGGUGCGAGCGUUGUCCGGAAUCACUGGGCGUAAAGGGCGCGUAGGUGGCCUGGUAAGUGUGUGGUGAAAGCCCGGGGCUCAACCCCGGGUCGGCCAUGCAAACUGCGAGGCUGGAGCACUGUAGAGGCAGGCGGAAUUCCGGGUGUAGCGGUGGAAUGCGUAGAGAUCCGGAAGAACACCGGUGGCGAAGGCGGCCUGCUGGGCAGUAGCUGACACUGAGGCGCGACAGCGUGGGGAGCAAACAGG